rnacentral:tRNA from 1 species
GCCCCCAUCGUCUAGCGGCCCAGGAUACCAGGUUCUCAGCCUGGGGACCGGGGUUCGAUUCCCCGUGGGGGUACCA